rnacentral:rRNA from 1 species
AGAGUUUGAUCAUGGCUCAGGACGACGCUGGCGGCGUGCCUAACACAUGCAAGUCGAACGGAGAUACUUUUGAAGCUUGCGAAGGAGUAUCUUAGUGGCGGACGGGUGAGUAACGCGUGGGUAAUCUGCCCAUAAGCGGGGAACAACAGUUGGAAACGACUGCUAAUACCGCAUAAACUGCCUAAGGGCAGGAAAGGUGGCCUCUGAAUAUGCUGCCGCUUAUGGAUGAGCCCGCGUCUGAUUAGCUGGUUGGUGGGGUAAAGGCCUACCAAGGCGACGAUCAGUAGCCGGCCUGAGAGGGUGAACGGCCACACUGGGACUGAGACACGGCCCAGACUCCUACGGGAGGCAGCAGUGGGGAAUAUUGCGCAAUGGGGGAAACCCUGACGCAGCGACGCCGCGUGAGCGAAGAAGGCCUUAGGGUUGUAAAGCUCUGUUUUAGGGGACGAAAGCUAUAGGGAGAAAUAUGCCCUGUAAAUGACGGUACCCUAAGAGGAAGCCCCGGCUAACUACGUGCCAGCAGCCGCGGUAAGACGUAGGGGGCGAGCGUUGUCCGGAAUUACUGGGCGUAAAGAGCACGUAGGCGGGAACUUAAGUCAGGUGUGAAAGACCGUGGCUCAACCACGGGUAUGCAUUUGAAACUGGGUUUCUUGAGGGCAGGAGAGGAAAGCAGAAUUCCUGGUGUAGCGGUGAAAUGCGUAGAUAUUAGGAGGAACACCAGUGGCGAAGGCGGCUUUCUGGACAGUAACUGACGCUGAGGCGCGAAAGCGUGGGGAGCGAACAGGAUUAGAUACCCUGGUAGUCCACGCCGUAAACGAUGGAUACUAGGUGUAGGAGGUAUCGACCCCUUCUGUGCCGGAGUUAACACAAUAAGUAUCCCACCUGGGGAGUACGGCCGCAAGGUUGAAACUCAAAGGAAUUGACGG